AACGAACGCUGGCGGCAGGCUUAACACAUGCAAGUCGAGCGCCCCGCAAGGGGAGCGGCAGACGGGUGAGUAACGCGUGGGAAUCUACCCAUCUCUACGGAAUAACGCAUGGAAACGUGUGCUAAUACCGUAUACGUCCUUCGGGAGAAAGAUUUAUCGGAGAUGGAUGAGCCCGCGUUGGAUUAGCUAGUUGGUGGGGUAAAGGCCUACCAAGGCGACGAUCUAUAGCUGGUCUGAGAGGAUGAUCAGCUACACUGGGACUGAGACACGGCCCAGACUCCUACAGGAGGCAGCAGUGGGGAAUAUUGGACAAUGGGCGCAAGCCUGAUCCAGCCAUGCCGCGUGAGUGAUGAAGGCCCUAGGGUUGUAAAGCUCUUUCACCGGUGAAGAUAAUGACGGUAACCGGAGAAGAAGCCCCGGCUAACUUCGUGCCAGCAGCCGCCGUAACAC
rnacentral:rRNA from 1 species